AGUAACACGUGGGCAAUCUGCCCUUCACUCUGGGACAAGCCCUGGAAACGGGGUCUAAUACCGGAUACCACUCCCUGGGGCAUCUUGGGGGGUUGAAAGCUCCGGCGGUGAAGGAUGAGCCCGCGGCCUAUCAGCUUGUUGGUGAGGUAACGGCUCACCAAGGCGACGACGGGUAGCCGGCCUGAGAGGGCGACCGGCCACACUGGGACUGAGACACGGCCCAGACUCCUACGGGAGGCAGCAGUGGGGAAUAUUGCACAAUGGGCGCAAGCCUGAUGCAGCGACGCCGCGUGAGGGAUGACGGCCUUCGGGUUGUAAACCUCUUUCAGCAGGGAAGAAGCGCAAGUGACGGUACCUGCAGAAGAAGCGCCGGCUAACUACGUGCCAGCAGCCGCGGUAAUACGUAGGGCGCAAGCGUUGUCCGGAAUUAUUGGGCGUAAAGAGCUCGUAGGCGGCUUGUCACGUCGGGUGUGAAAGCCCGGGGCUUAAC
rnacentral:rRNA from 1 species